CCUACGGGAGGCAGCAGUGGGGGAUAUUGCACAAUGGGGGGAACCCUGAUGCAGCGACGCCGCGUGGGUGAAGAAGCGCCUCGGCGCGUAAAGCCCUGUCAGCAGGGAAGAAAAUGACGGUACCUGAAGAAGAAGCCCCGGCUAACUACGUGCCAGCAGCCGCGGUAAUACGUAGGGGGCAAGCGUUAUCCGGAUUUACUGGGUGGAAAGGGGGCGCAGACGGCGAUGCAAGCCAGGAGUGAAAGCCCGGGGCCCAACCCCGGGACUGCUCUUGGAACUGCGUGGCGGGAGUGCAGGAGGGACAGGCGGAAUUCCUGGUGUAGCGGUGAAAUGCGUAGAUAUCAGGAGGAACACCGGUGGCGAAGGCGGCCUGCUGGACUGCAACUGACGUUGAGGCCCGAAAGCGUGGGGAGCAAACAGGAUUAGAUACCCGAGUAGUC
rnacentral:rRNA from 1 species